rnacentral:rRNA from 1 species
GGAACGAACGCUGGCGGCAUGCCUAAUACAUGCAAGUCGAACGAACUCUUCGGAGUUAGUGGCGCACGGGUGCGUAACGCGUGGGAAUCUGCCCCUUGGUUCGGAAUAACAGUUGGAAACGACUGCUAAUACCGGAUGAUGACGAAAGUCCAAAGAUUUAUCGCCAAGGGAUGAGCCCGCGUAGGAUUAGCUAGUUGGUGAGGUAAAGGCUCACCAAGGCAACGAUCCUUAGCUGGUCUGAGAGGAUGAUCAGCCACACUGGGACUGAGACACGGCCCAGACCUCCGUACGGGAGGCAGCAGUAGGGAAUAGUUGGACAAGUGGGGACGAAAGCCUAGACUCCAGCAAUCGCCGCGG